rnacentral:rRNA from 1 species
UUAGUAAUUUAAAAUUAAUAUAGGUAAUACUAUUUGUUGGGGACGACAAUAAAUAAUAAAAACUUUUAAUUUUAAAAUUUUUAAAAUUAUGUUCUGAUCCUUAAAAGAUCAUAAGAAAAAUUACCUUAGGGAUAACAGCGUAAUCUUUUUUGAGAGUUCUAAUCGACAAAAAGGUUUGCGACCUCGAUGUUGGACUAAAAUUUAGGCAAGGUGCAGCUGCUUUGUUUUAAGGUCUGUUCGACCUAUAAUAUUUACACGAUCUGAGUUCAGACCGG